AAGUUCUUAAAACACUAAAAGACUCAAAUGGGAACAAUAUAGAGAAGAGUAUAGUCCCUGCACAAAGAUGACAUGCAAAUUUAUGAAACGUUCCACAUAUUC
ensembl:snRNA U6 U6 spliceosomal RNA